rnacentral:rRNA from 1 species
UACAGAGGGGGCAAGCGUUGUUCGGAAUUACUGGGCGUAAAGGCUCGCGUGAGCGGCCAACUAAGUCAGACGUGAAAUCCCUCGGCUUAACCGGGGAACUGCGUCUGAUACUGGAUGGCUUGAAUCGGGAGAGGGAUGCGGAAUUCCAGGUGUAGCGGUGAAAUGCGUAGAUAUCUGGAGGAACACCGGUGGCGAAGGCGACAUCCUGGCCAGCUAUGACGCUGAGUGAGCGAAAGCCAGGGGAGCAAACGGG